AUGACACUCCCGAGGAUGAUGGGCUUUUGUAGACCAGCUCCGGUGGCGGUCCUGCGUGCUCUGUGCAUGUUGAUGCAAAUGAGAGAGAGAGAGGGGAGAAAAAGGUGUGCGGGCGUGAGUACUGGGCGCGUAGAUGGAUGGAUGGAUGUGUGCUACGUGAUGGAUGGAUCUCCUGAUGGAUGGAUGUGUGCGUUGGUGAAUGGCGGCGGCCUUGCGGCGUCUCUCUCCCCGUGCGUGGUUUCUCCUGUGAUGUGUGAUGAAUGGGUGUGGGCGCUGGCAAUUUUUGCCAUGCACCAUACUCAAGAGAUCAGGUCAAUGCAUGCAUGCAUGAUCUGUGGGCUGGAACCAUAUCGUUUUCCUCCUGUCCCCGGCGGCUGGAACCGCCGCCAGGAGACCCAAUCUUCCAGCACCGUCCUCCGGCGGCUCCCCUCCGUCGAUGACCUCGGUCGUCGGUGUCUGUUCAUCGUCUUUGUUUCGGCGGCGACGAUGACAGUGCUGAAUAAAGAUUCUUCGGAUCCUUCCUUGACAAGGCCAUUGGUCCUAUGGUUGGGGAUGGAUUUGAAAACCAGUCUGUUCAAGCAAGGAUGGCGUGGCAGCGGCGGCAUCCUUGUGGUGGACCUGUGUCCUUGGGCUCCGCCGUUGCGACGGCGUUUGCUACAGCGUCGGCGCGGAGCUUGGGAGGUAGUCCAGGAGCGGAUGCAGAUUGUGGUCUGCAUCGACGACAUCUGGAAGACGGAACAUGUGCUGGGUUCAUGGUUCGUGGAUGGCAGGUAUGGUUUCCUUCCGCGACGUCUUAGUCGGGGUGGGGUGCCUGAUCUGGAGUUCGAUGGCGUGUCCGGGGUGUUGCCCCGGUCUAAUUCGUUCAACGGUAAAGGCUUAACUUUGGUGAGCCACCUUGGAGGUCCGAAAGCUGCAUAUCAGCGAUGGAGCCGCGUCGAGCUCGAACACCGGAAACUAUUGGGUAAAGUAUCAUGCUUUGGUAUGGAUGAAUCUUCAUCUCCAUAUCAGGCACGAAGCAGACAUGUGGAUCCGAUGGAGACUCCAAUUAGGACCGGCCGGACCUCGAGGCCAAUAAAAACGACACCUCCCAGAUACGUUGGCCCUCGCACUCGAGGCUCCUCCAAUCGCAGUCUGACGAUGGCAGUACGGAAGAAGAUGGAAGGGACAGCGCCCUCGCUCCCGGACGACCUGGUCCGCGAGAUCCUCGUGCGCUUGGACAAUGUAGUCGAUCUCUUCCGCUGCGCAGUGUCGUGCAAGCAGAUGCGCCGCGUCAUACUCGAGCCCUCCUUCCUUCACCGCCUCCGCUGGCCAGGCUCGACGCCGUCGUUCCUCUCCGGACUCUUCAUCUGGGAAAAAUUCGACUUCAUGCCGGCCAUUACUUUUGUCACGUCCUUCGUCCCAAUGAAGUACUCGCUGUUCGGUCCUCACCGUCGCAAUCUCAAGUCAUUUGUCCCCACAAGCAGCGCGAGAGGCCGCAGAAGAGGGCUGCUGCACAACGUGGUUCCGCUCGUCGCUCGCCACGGCCUCGUCCUCCUCCUGCGCCUAGAUAUGCCCAAUGUCAAUGUUAGUCCGUCCUCAACCAUCUGGCUAGCCGUGUGUAAUUUGUUUUCUGGCACAUGUGACGAGCUCCCUCCGCUUAGGUGCGAUUGGGAUUUCGACAAGAGCGGUUACACCAUCCUAACCAGCACAGAUUGUGAUUCGAAUGUUGAGCAGCAACCUUCGGUGCCGCCUGGCUACUCAGCCUUCUUUAAAGUGCUCGUCAUUGAGACUGGCAUCAAUCAGCAACCACACAACCUUCACAAGUUCACAUCAGGCGAGCCAAGUUGGAGUGGCGUGAGUAAAUUAUCCAGUAAGGUGAGGGGUGAUAAUUGGGAUCUUAGGCACCCCCGCGCCGUUGUGUGGCGUGGCACCGCACACUGGCUCAUUCGUUACUGCGAGGGUUGCUACUCGUCCUUGCAUACCAUUGACGUGGAUGCUGAGACGUGUGGUGUCUCUGUGACGAAGAUUGAGAUCCCUACCGAAUAUAUCAGAAGCGAAAUUCGCGAUGGACCAGAAUUUAUCGCCCUUAUUGUCGAUGUCGACGGGUUACUCUCGGUGUUUCGUAGGCGAGGCUCCCACCUAGAGAGAUGGACACGCCAAGAGGAUGGUGAUCCUACAAGAUGGCUCUGCACUCAGUUUAUGGAGCUAAAACCACAUGCGUAUCUUAGGGAACCCUUGAUCAUUUUAGAAAAGAAGGGUGGUAUGUUGCUCGUCCAGCACUACGACUUCUAUGGGACGAACAUACAAAUGAGUCCCGCUUGGAUUGAUGGAUGUUUUCUUAAGUUGGGUAAUGGAGCACAAGUGCUUGCCGCCACAGCUCGAGAUGGCAAUAAUAAUUUUUAUCCACUCGCAUUCGGUGUCGUUGGAACAGAAGAUACUGCUACAUGGUCAUGGUUUCUCAAUCAACUCAAGUAUGCACUAGGUGGUACUGCAGUAAUCUGGGAAAGUUUUGGCUCAAUUGGACCACAGGUUUUGGAGAUAAUGACAGUCCAAUAUGUUGCUGAUGUGGCCGAAACUAGGCGUGAAUUUGGAGCCCAGUUGGCCAGUUGCGAGUCAAACGUGGACUUGCAACCCGGGCAACUACAACUAUCGGGCCAGUUGCGAGUCGAACAUGGACUUGCAACCGGGACACCUACAACUACCGAGCCAGUUGUGACUCGAACGUGGACAUGGAACCGGGACACCUACAACUACUGGGCCAGUUGUGAGCCAAGCAUGGACUUGCCACUGGGACAACUACAACUGACAAUUACAAAUGGCGGGCCGAGUUACGAGCAGAAGAAUGACUUGCAACUGGGAUGGAGAACAAAACAUGAACCCAGUUAUGAGUCGAAGGUAGAGUUGCAACUGGGACAAAUGACAUGCCGCCUCUUUGACUUCUACGAGACAUGCGGGGUAAAAUGGGCACACAAGAGUGCAGCAGGAAAAUGUCCAACAAAACAACAUUUGUACAACACGGACGGGCUGACAAACAAACAAAAAGGAACAAGGCGAUAG
rnacentral:rRNA from 1 species